rfam:Brachypodium distachyon strain Bd21 chromosome 2, whole genome shotgun sequence.
GACAUAUUCCCGCGGUCCAACAAAGGAUGUCUCAAGUUUGUCAAAAUUUAAAUGUAUCUAGACAUGAUUUAAUGUAUAGAUGCAUUCAAAUUUAAUCAAAGUUUAGACAUCUUUUGUUGAACGAAAGGAGCAUGAA